rnacentral:tRNA from 1 species
UUAGCUCAGUUGGUUAGAGCAUCGUGCUAAUAAUGCCAAGGUUGUGGGUUAAAUCCCCGUA